CUCUUAUUACUAAUAGUAACAAAAUCAAAACCAAACACACCAAAAAUUGGUGGUCUGGUCGACAGAAGCAGAGAAAAGGGGCGAACCCCAUAUCCAAAACCCUAACAUCACCAUUUCUUGCAAAUUGAAGGCUCAAAUCCUAACCAAAACAAAAUCCGAGCUUAGAAUCGUGUUCCUCAUCGCGAGAGGGUCUAGAGGCAAAGAGUCCGGUUCCUCUAGCGGACAAGCCGAGGGGAAAUCACGAGGAAAAGGCGCGCUCUAAAGGCAAAGAGUCCGGUUCCUCUAGCGGACAAGCCGAGGGGAAAUCACGAGGAAAAGGCGCGCUCUAAAGGUACGAAAUUUAUCGUUUCGUUACAUUAUACCUUAUUGUUAGUUUUAUGUAGUCAAUUUUGAAACACGACGACCAAGAUUUACCAAUACGUCACGAAUAUGAUUAGUGCCUUAAACAAGUAAAUGGGUCAAAACAAGUGAAAAUGCAUGAAAUCUUACAUAUCCGAAAUGGUGUGUAAGUUUAACACCCAAACGGGUCAAACAAGUUAUGGUAAUAAGCAUGAAGCAUGACCUUAUUACACAAUGCGUGAAUUACAUGAUAAGUAUGCCGUGUA